CGGAGGUACUCGAGUGGCGAACGGGUGAGUAACACGUGGGUGAUCUGCCCUGCACUCUGGGAUAAGGCCUGGGAAACUGGGUCUAAUACCGGAUAGGACCAUGCUUUAGUGUGUGUGGUGGAAAGUUUUUUCGGUGUAGGAUGAGCCCGCGGCCUAUCAGCUUGUUGGUGGGGUAAUGGCCUACCAAGGCGGCGACGGGUAGCCGGACUGAGAGGUUGGUCGGCCACAUUGGGACUGAGAUACGGCCCAG
rnacentral:rRNA from 1 species